GGGUUGUGAGGUUAAGCGACUAAGCGUACACGGUGGAUGCCCUGGCAGUCAGAGGCGAUGAAGGACGUGCUAAUCUGCGAUAAGCGCCGGUAAGGUGAUAUGAACCGUUAUAACCGGCGAUUUCCGAAUGGGGAAACCCAGUGUGACUCGUCACACUAUCAUUAACUGAAUCCAUAGGUUAAUGAGGCGAACCGGGGGAACUGAAACAUCUAAGUACCCCGAGGAAAAGAAAUCAACCGAGAUUCCCCCAGUAGCGGCGAGCGAACGGGGAGGAGCCCAGAGCCUGAAUCAGCAUGUGUGUUAGUGGAAGCGUCUGGAAAGGCGCGCGAUACAGGGUGACAGCCCCGUACACAAAAGCGCAUGUGCUGUGAGCUCGAUGAGUAGGGCGGGACACGUGGUAUCCUGUCUGAAUAUGGGGGGACCAUCCUCCAAGGCUAAAUACUCCUGACUGACCGAUAGUGAACCAGUACCGUGAGGGAAAGGCGAAAAGAACCCCGGCGAGGGGAGUGAAAAAGAACCUGAAACCGUGUACGUACAAGCAGUGGGAGCCCCACCACUAAGCCAGUGGUGAACUCCACAUACGCAUCCUUUGCUGAUGGCAAUGGUUAACGGAGCGAAAGCGACGUUCAACCGCAAAACAAGCAGAGGGGGCUUAGUGGUGGGGUGACUGCGUACCUUUUGUAUAAUGGGUCAGCGACUUAUAUUCUGUAGCAAGGUUAACCGUAUAGGGGAGCCGCAGGGAAACCGAGUCUUAACCGGGCGUUAAGUUGCAGGGUAUAGACCCGAAACCCGGUGAUCUAGCCAUGGGCAGGUUGAAGGUUGGGUAACACUAACUGGAGGACCGAACCGACUAAUGUUGAAAAAUUAGCGGAUGACCUGUGGCUGGGGGUGAAAGGCCAAUCAAACCGGGAGAUAGCUGGUUCUCCCCGAAAGCUAUUUAGGUAGCGCCUCGUGAACUCAUCUCCGGGGGUAGAGCACUGUUUCGGCUAGGGGGCCAUCCCGGCUUACCAACCCGAUGCAAACUGCGAAUACCGGAGAAUGUUAUCACGGGAGACACACGGCGGGUGCUAACGUCCGUCGUGAAGAGGGAAACAACCCAGACCGCCAGCUAAGGUCCCAAAGUCAUGGUUAAGUGGGAAACGAUGUGGGAAGGCCCAGACAGCCAGGAUGUUGGCUUAGAAGCAGCCAUCAUUUAAAGAAAGCGUAAUAGCUCACUGGUCGAGUCGGCCUGCGCGGAAGAUGUAACGGGGCUAAACCAUGCACCGAAGCUGCGGCAGCGAACGUAUCACCCAAGACAACUUUGCGGAGUUGACGAUUGACGGAGCGAAGCGACGUCAAAGCGUUCAUUAAAGUCGAGUUGGCUUAGGGAUACGUUCGUUGGGUAGGGGAGCGUUCUGUAAGCCUGUGAAGGUGGCCUGUGAGGGUUGCUGGAGGUAUCAGAAGUGCGAAUGCUGACAUAAGUAACGAUAAAGCGGGUGAAAAGCCCGCUCGCCGGAAGACCAAGGGUUCCUGUCCAACGUUAAUCGGGGCAGGGUGAGUCGACCCCUAAGGCGAGGCCGAAAGGCGUAGUCGAUGGGAAACGGGUUAAUAUUCCCGUACUUGGUGUUACUGCGAAGGGGGGACGGAGAAGGCUAUGUUGGCCGGGCGACGGUUGUCCCGGUUUAAGCGUGUAGGUGUGUGUUCCAGGUAAAUCCGGUUCACUUUAACACUGAGGCGUGACGACGAGGCACUACGGUGCUGAAGCAACAAAUGCCCUGCUUCCAGGAAAAGCCUCUAAGCAUCAGGUAACAUCAAAUCGUACCCCAAACCGACACAGGUGGUCAGGUAGAGAAUACCAAGGCGCUUGAGAGAACUCGGGUGAAGGAACUAGGCAAAAUGGUGCCGUAACUUCGGGAGAAGGCACGCUGACAUGUAGGUGAAGUGAUUUACUCAUGGAGCUGAAGUCAGUCGAAGAUACCAGCUGGCUGCAACUGUUUAUUAAAAACACAGCACUGUGCAAACACGAAAGUGGACGUAUACGGUGUGACGCCUGCCCGGUGCCGGAAGGUUAAUUGAUGGGGUCAGCGCAAGCGAAGCUCCUGAUCGAAGCCCCGGUAAACGGCGGCCGUAACUAUAACGGUCCUAAGGUAGCGAAAUUCCUUGUCGGGUAAGUUCCGACCUGCACGAAUGGCGUAAUGAUGGCCAGGCUGUCUCCACCCGAGACUCAGUGAAAUUGAACUCGCUGUGAAGAUGCAGUGUACCCGCGGCAAGACGGAAAGACCCCGUGAACCUUUACUAUAGCUUGACACUGAACAUUGAGCCUUGAUGUGUAGGAUAGGUGGGAGGCUUUGAAGUGUGGACGCCAGUCUGCAUGGAGCCGACCUUGAAAUACCACCCUUUAAUGUUUGAUGUUCUAACGUGGACCCGUAAUCCGGGUUGCGGACAGUGUCUGGUGGGUAGUUUGACUGGGGCGGUCUCCUCCUAAAGAGUAACGGAGGAGCACGAAGGUUGGCUAAUCCUGGUCGGACAUCAGGAGGUUAGUGCAAUGGCAUAAGCCAGCUUGACUGCGAGCGUGACGGCGCGAGCAGGUGCGAAAGCAGGUCAUAGUGAUCCGGUGGUUCUGAAUGGAAGGGCCAUCGCUCAACGGAUAAAAGGUACUCCGGGGAUAACAGGCUGAUACCGCCCAAGAGUUCAUAUCGACGGCGGUGUUUGGCACCUCGAUGUCGGCUCAUCACAUCCUGGGGCUGAAGUAGGUCCCAAGGGUAUGGCUGUUCGCCAUUUAAAGUGGUACGCGAGCUGGGUUUAGAACGUCGUGAGACAGUUCGGUCCCUAUCUGCCGUGGGCGCUGGAGAACUGAGGGGGGCUGCUCCUAGUACGAGAGGACCGGAGUGGACGCAUCACUGGUGUUCGGGUUGUCAUGCCAAUGGCACUGCCCGGUAGCUAAAUGCGGAAGAGAUAAGUGCUGAAAGCAUCUAAGCACGAAACUUGCCCCGAGAUGAGUUCUCCCUGAGACUUAGAGUCUCCUGAAGGAACGUUGAAGACGACGACGUUGAUAGGCCGGGUGUGUAAGCGCAGCGAUGCGUUGAGCUAACCGGUACUAAUGAACCGUGAGGCUUAACCUUACAACGCCGAAG
rnacentral:rRNA from 1 species